GUGUGUGUCCAAGCAGCAAGUCUGAGAACGAGUGAAAUGCUUUUUCUCUCAAGGACAAGCUGUGAUGGGGAGCGAAAUUUAGUAGCGAAGUUCCUGAUGUCACACUGCCAAGAAAAGCUUCUAGUGAGAAAGUAACUGCCCGUACCGCAAACCGACACAGGUAGUUGAGGAGAGAAUCCUAAGGUGUGCGAGAGAACUCUCGUUAAGGAACUCGGCAAAAUGACCCCGUAACUUCGGGAGAAGGGGUGCUGACCGCAAGGUCAGCCGCAGUGAAUAGGCCCAAGCGACUGUUUAUCAAAAACACAGGUCUCUGCAAAAUCGAAAGAUGACGUAUAGGGGCUGACGCCUGCCCGGUGCUGGAAGGUUAAGAGGAGAGGUUAGCGCAAGCGAAGCUUUGAAUUGAAGCCCCAGUAAACGGCGGCCGUAACAAUAACGGUCCUAAGGUAGCGAAAUUCCUUGUCGGGUAAGUUCCGUCCCGCACGAAAGGCGUAACGAUUUGGGCACUGUCUCAACGAGAGACUCGGUGAAAUUAUAGUACCAGUGAAGAUGCUGGUUACCCGCGACAGGACGGAAAGACCCCAUGGAGCUUUACUGCAGUUUGAUAUUGCGUGUUUGUAUCACAUGUACAGGAUAGGUAGGAGCCGAAGAUACCGGGACGCCAGUCUCGGAGGAGGCAACGGUGGGAUACUACCCUUGUGAUAUGACCACUCUAACCCGCUGCUCUUAGCGAGCAGGGAGACAGUGUCAGACGGGCAGUUUGACUGGGGCGGUCGCCUCCAAAAAUGUAACGGAGGCGCCCAAAGGUUCCCUCAGAAUGGUUGGAAAUCAUUCGUAGAGUGUAAAGGCAGAAGGGAGCUUGACUGCGAGACCUACAAGUCGAGCAGGGACGAAAGUCGGGCUUAGUGAUCCGGUGGUUCCGCAUGGAAGGGCCAUCGCUCAACGGAUAAAAGCUACCCUGGGGAUAACAGGCUUAUCUCCCCCAAGAGUUCACAUCGACGGGGAGGUUUGGCACCUCGAUGUCGGCUCAUCGCAUCCUGGGGCUGUAGUCGGUCCCAAGGGUUGGGCUGUUCGCCCAUUAAAGCGGUACGCGAGCUGGGUUCAGAACGUCGUGAGACAGUUCGGUCCCUAUCCGUCGCGGGCGUUGGAAAUUUGAGAGGAGCUGUCCUUAGUACGAGAGGACCGGGAUGGACACACCGCUGGUGUACCAGUUGUUCUGCCAAGAGCAUCGCUGGGUAGCUAUGUGUGGACGGGAUAAACGCUGAAAGCAUCUAAGCGUGAAGCCCCCCUCAAGAUGAGAUUUCCCAUCACUUUAAGUGAGUAAGACCCCUGAGAGAUGAUCAGGUAGAUAGGUUGGGAGUGGAAGUACAGCGAUGUAUGGAGCGGACCAAUACUAAUCGGUCGAGGACUUAACC
rnacentral:rRNA from 1 species